GACGAACGCUGGCGGCGUGCCUAAUACAUGCAAGUUGAGCGAUGAAGAUUGGUGCUUGCACCAAUUUGAAGAGCAGCGAACGGGUGAGUAACGCGUGGGGAAUCUGCCUUUGAGCGGGGGACAACAUUUGGAAACGAAUGCUAAUACCGCAUAAUAACUUUAAACAUAAGUUUUAAGUUUGAAAGAUGCAAUUGCAUCACUCAAAGAUGAUCCCGCGUUGUAUUAGCUAGUUGGUGAGGUAAAGGCUCACCAAGGCGAUGAUACAUAGCCGACCUGAGAGGGUGAUCGGCCACAUUAGGACUGAGACACGGCCCAAACUCCUACGGGAGGCAGCAGUAGGGAAUCUUCGGCAAUGGACGAAAGUCUGACCGAGCAACGCCGCGUGAGUGAAGAAGGUUUUCGGAUCGUAAAACUCUGUUGGUAGAGAAGAACGUUGGUGAGAGUGGAAAGCUCAUCAAGUGACGGUAACUACCCAGAAAGGGACGGCUAACUACGUG
rnacentral:rRNA from 1 species